UACGUAGGGGGCAAGCGUUGUCCGGAUUUAUUGGGCGUAAAGAGCGUGUAGGCGGUUAGGUAGGUCCGUUGUGAAAACUCGAGGCUCAACCUCGAGACGCCGAUGGAAACCAUUUGGCUAGAGUCCGGAAGAGGAGAGUGGAAUUCCCGGUGUAGCGGUGAAAUGCGCAGAUAUCGGGAAGAACACCCGUGGCUAAGGCGGCUCUCUAGUACGGUACUGACGCUGAGACGCGAAAGCGUGGGGAGCGAACAGG
rnacentral:rRNA from 1 species